UACGUAGGGGGCUAGCGUUGUCCGGAAUCAUUGGGCGUAAAGCGCGCGUAGGCGGCCCGGUAAGUCCGCUGUAAAAGUCCAGGGCUCAACCCUGGAAAGCCGGUGGAUACUGUCGGGCUCGAGUCCGGAAGAGGCGAGUGGAAUUCCUGGUGUAGCGGUAAAAUGCGCAGAUAUCAGGAAGAACACCUAUGGCGAAAGCAGCUCUCUGGGACGGUACUGACGCUGAGACGCGAAAGCGUGGGAGCGAAGCAGGAUUGAGAAACCCGGG
rnacentral:rRNA from 1 species